GUAGGUGGCAAGCGUUGUCCGGAAUUAUUGGGCGUAAAGCGCGCGCAGGCGGUUCUUUAAGUCUGAUGUGAAAGCCCACGGCUCAACCGUGGAGGGUCAUUGGAAACUGGAGAACUUGAGUACAGAAGAGGAAAGCGGAAUUCCACGUGUAGCGGUGAAAUGCGUAGAGAUGUGGAGGAACACCAGUGGCGAAGGCGGCUUUCUGGUCUGUAACUGACGCUGAGGCGCGAAAGCGUGGGGGAGCAAACAGGAUUAGAUACCCUGGUAGUCCACGCCGUAAACGAUGAGUGCUAAGUGUUAGGGGGUUUCCGCCCCUUAGUGCUGCAGCUAACGCAUUAAGCACUCCGCCUGGGAGUACGGCCGCAAGGCU
rnacentral:rRNA from 1 species